rnacentral:rRNA from 1 species
ACACGACUACAUUAGAUACCCGUGUAGUCCUAGCCGUAAACGAUACUCGCUAGGUGUCGGCCACGGUGCGACCGUUGUCGGUGCCGUAGGGAAGCCGUGAAGCGAGCCACCUGGGAAGUACGGCCGCAAGGCUGAAACUUAAAGGAAUUGGCGGGGGAGCACAACAACGGGUGGAGCUUGCGGUUUAAUUGGACUCAACGCCGGAAAUCUUACCGGGACCGACAGCAACAUGAAGGCCAAGCUGAAGACUUUGCCGGAUUAGCUG